rnacentral:rRNA from 1 species
AUUGAACGCUGGCGGCAUGCUUUACACAUGCAAGUCGAACGGCAGCGGGGGCUUCGGCCCGCCGGCGAGUGGCGAACGGGUGAGUAAUACAUCGGAACGUAUCCUUGAGUGGGGAAUAAC